CUGCCUUUUUUCUCAGAAUAAUAAUAAUUGAAGUUAUUGGACCUUUAUUUUUAUUUUUUUUCCAGUGGUCCUAAUCCUCUUCUGUAAAAAGUGUUACUUCCUGGGAAAUAAUGAGAUCAAGUGAAAGGCAACAGUAUAAGAAGUGGGAAAAAGUGACAUUUCAUUUUCACAUUUAUAUAUAUUUAUAGUCUAUGCUCAAAUUUAAUACAUGCAGGGUCAUACUGGAGCUUUGAAUGGCACUGGGUCGUCUCCCUUGUAACUUUUUAUUUAAAAAACUAUCCAUUUUGUGUCCAUCUUUUACAUUUUGAAACAAUUAUGAAUCUGACAACUUUGAUUUCUGUGAAUUCAUAAGCACAUGUAGGUGUAAAAUCAGUAACUUUGUAAAUUACUCUAU